CAUUGAAACACUGGUUUCCAUACGAUCACCAAAGUUAAACAACAUUGAGCCUGGUCAGUACCUAGAUGGAUGACCACAUAGGAACACCAGGUGCGG